rnacentral:tRNA from 1 species
GGGAGAGUGGCCGACUGGUCAAAUAUGGAAAAUUGUAAAUUUUUUGAAGUGUUUUUACAUAGGUUCAAAUCCUUCCGCUCCCA